rnacentral:rRNA from 1 species
AGUGAACGCUGGCGGUAGGCCUAACACAUGCAAGUCGAACGGCAGCACAGUAAGAGCUUGCUCUUACGGGUGGCGAGUGGCGGGCGGGUGAGGAAUACAUCGGAAUCUACUUUUUCGUGGGGGAUAACGUAGGGAAACUUACGCUAAUACCGCAUACGACCUACGGGUGAAAGCAGGGGAUCUUCGGACCUUGCGCGAUUGAAUGAGCCGAUGUCGGAUUAGCUAGUUGGCGGGGUAAAGGCCCACCAAGGCGACGAUCCGUAGCUGGUCUGAGAGGAUGAUCAGCCACACUGGAACUGAGACACGGUCCAGACUCCUACGGGAGGCAGCAGUGGGGAAUAUCGGACAAUGGGCGCAAGCCUGAUCCAGCCAUACCGCGUGGGUGAAGAAGGCCUUCGGGUUGUAAAGCCCUUUUGUUGGGAAAGAAAAGCAGCAGGUUAAUACCCCGCUGUUCUGACGGUACCCAAAGAAUAAGCACCGGCUAACUUCGUG